rnacentral:rRNA from 1 species
GACGAACGCUGGCGGCGUGCUUAACACAUGCAAGUCGAACGGAAAGGCCCUGCUUUUGUGGGGUGCUCGAGUGGCGAACGGGUGAGUAACACGUGAGUAACCUGCCCUUGACUUUGGGAUAACUUCAGGAAACUGGGGCUAAUACCGGAUAGGAGCUCCUGCUGCAUGGUGGGGGUUGGAAAGUUUCGGCGGUUGGGGAUGGACUCGCGGCUUAUCAGCUUGUUGGUGGGGUAGUGGCUUACCAAGGCUUUGACGGGUAGCCGGCCUGGGAGGGUGACCGGCCACAUUGGGCCUGAGAUACGGCCCAGCCUCCUACGGGAGGCAGCAGUGGGGAAUAUUGCACAAUGGGCGGAAGCCUGAUGCAGCAACGCCGCGUGCGGGAUGACGGCCUUCGGGUUGUAAACCGCUUUCGCCUGUGACGAAGCGUGAGUGACGGUAAUGGGUAAAGAAGCACCGGCUAACUACGUG